rnacentral:lncRNA from 1 species
CCCUGACUCAGCACUUAUCUUUUGGAUUUUGUCUUUAUCCUCAGUGUGACCUGAGCCACCAGCCUCCCUGAGCAGGAAGAUGACGAGAGGGAGGGGAGAACAAGGAUGCCUUAAGUAGUUCAGGUGUCACCCAGAGAGAGAGAGUCCAGGUGACAUUGUUCCCUCUGUCUGCCCUCAGGGUCUGCUGGGCCCCAGCUCCCUGUGGGCACCAGAUACAUCUACAACUUCUGCACCAACUCCAGCACCGGCCUGCAGGGGGCGCUGCAGGAGGGGAGUGGCCUUGGCCUCCAAGGCUUGGCCAUCCUUGACGUGCUUGGCCCAUGCCAGGUGGUCUUACGGCUGCAAGACUUCCAGGUGACAUCAAUGCUGGAGUCCCAGGUGGAGGUUCAGAAAGAGUCGC